GUGUGUUUAUGAAGGAAUGUGUGCUGGUGUCCUGGGUGUUUGUCCUGGGGUUGUGUAAUUACGUCUCAAGUUUGGAUGGUUCACCACGGGGUGGUUGUGUCUCCCUCUAGCCAUGGGUCCCAUAUUUUGUGAAACUGUUUGGGAGUGUCUCGAAUUUGUGCUGUAAGUUUGUCCAUCUGUGAGCUUUCCACUAUCUUUCUUGUGAUCGUUUCUUGUGUCGGAAUGCGGGUCGUGGACCAGAGCUCUGCUAUGGCUCUGUGUGUUGCUAAAGUGAUUCGGGUGAUCAGCUUGUUUUCUGCUCUUGUGAAUGG